rnacentral:rRNA from 1 species
AAUUUUGGACAAUGGGGGAAACCCUGAUCCAGCCAUCCCGCGUGUAUGAUGAAGGCCUUCGGGUUGUAAAGUACUUUUGGCAGGGAAGAAAAGGUAUCCCCUAAUACGGGAUACUGCUGACGGUAUCUGCAGAAUAAGCACCGGCUAACUACGUGCCAGCAGCCGCGGUAAUACGUAGGGUGCAAGCGUUAAUCGGAAUUACUGGGCGUAAAGCGUGGGGAGGCGGUGCGGAAAGAAAGCUGAGAAGUCACAGGGCUCAACCUUGGAACUGCAUUUUUAACUGCCGAGCUAGAGUAGGACAGAGGAGGGUAGAAUACCACGUGUAGCAGUGAAGUGCGUAGAUAUGUGGAGGAAUACCACUGGCGAAGGCAGCCCCCUGGGGUAAUACUACCGCUCAGACACGAAAGCGUGGGGAGCAAACAGG